rnacentral:rRNA from 1 species
GAGUACGAGCGCAAGCUUAAAACUCAAAGGAAUUGACGGGGACCCGCACAAGCAGAGGAGGAUGUGGUUUAAUUCGAAGCUAAGCGAAGAACCUUGCCGAGGCUUGACAUCUCUGGAAUUUUGGCGAAAGCCGAAAGUGCCUUCGGGAACCAGAUGACAGAUGCUGCAUGGCCGUCGUCAGCUCGUGUCGUGAGAUGUUGGGUUAAGUCCCGCAACGAGCGCAACCCUCGUCGUCAGUUGUAUUUUCUGGCGAGACCGCCCGGGCCAACCGGGAGGAAGGUGGGGAUGACGUCUGGUCAGCAUGGCUCUUACGCCUCGGGCUACACACGUCCUACAAUGGCCACUACAACGCGCUGCCAAACCGUAAGGUGGAGCAAAUCGCAUCAAAAGUGGUCUCAGUUCGGAUUGAGGGCUGAAACUCGCCCUCAUGAAGCUGGAUUUGCUAGUAAUGGCAGGUCAGCCAUACUGCCGUGAAUACGUUCCCGGGUCUUGUACACACCGCCCGUCAAAUCACGAAAGUUAGGAGUACCCAAAGUAUCAGCUUGCUGGUCCUAAGGUAAAUCUAGCGAUUGGGGUUAAGUCGUAACAAGGUACC